rnacentral:lncRNA from 1 species
CCACAAAGCUGCAGUCUACAGGAUGGAUAAGAUCAAAGGAAAGGAAAAGGAAUCUCCUAUUUGCUUGCCACUUCUUUGUGCUAGAACUGUUUUAGACACUACAUCUGUUUAAUUACAUCGCAAUACUUCCUAUUGCUAUAAAAAAGGAUUUUCCUACUUCUAUGAAAAGAGAGUGUCAUUCCUUUUUACAAAUGAAUCACAGAGUGGUAAAGCACUUAACCAAAAUCCACAGAGCCAGUCAGUGGCAGAAGUGGGACCCCAACAGAGGAAAACAUCUCCAAAGUCCUAUGUUUAACUCUUACUACCACUUCACAUUGCUUCCCUUAGACUGAGGAGUCAGUCGAAUUGUGCCGCCCCUCUUCCCAAAGAUACGUCCGAGUCCUAAAUCCCUGUAUCUGUAAUGGGAUCUUAUCUGGAAAUAGUAUUUACAGAUGUAAUUAAAGUGUCUUGAGAUGAGAUUAUCCUGGAGGUAGGGGCUGGACUGAGGAGCCAAAUCCAAUGACUGGCAUCUUUAGAAGAGAAGGGAAAACAGACCCAGAGACCCAGAGGGAGGGCCAUGUGAAGAUGAAGGCAGACGUUGGAGUUCUGCACCCCCAAGCCCAAAACACCAAAGACUGCCAGCACCCCGCAGAAGUCUGGAGAAGGGCGUGGAAUGAAUUCUCCUUCAAGCCUUCAGAAUGAACCAACCCUGCCAACACCUUGAUUUUUAGACUUUUGACCUUCUCAACUGUGAGAGAAUAAAUUUCUGUUGCUUUAAGCCA